UACAGAGGGUGCGAGCGUUUAAUCGGAAUUACUGGGCGUAAAGCGUGCGCAGGCGGUUGUGCAAGACAGAUGUGAAAUCCCCGGGCUCAACCUGGGAAUUGCAUUUGUGACUGCACGGCUAGAGUGUGUCAGAGGGGGGUAGAAUUCCACGUGUAGCAGUGAAAUGCGUAGAGAUGUGGAGGAAUACCGAGUGGCGAAGGCAGCCCCCUGGGAUAACACUGACGCUCAGUGCACGGAAUGCGUGGGGAGCAAACAGG
rnacentral:rRNA from 1 species